AGUGAACGCUGGCGGUAGGCCUAACACAUGCAAGUCGAACGGCAGCACAGGAGAGCUUGCUCUCUGGGUGGCGAGUGGCGGACGGGUGAGGAAUACAUCGGAAUCUACUCUGUCGUGGGGGAUAACGUAGGGAAACUUACGCUAAUACCGCAUGCGACCUACGGGUGAAAGCAGGAGAUCUUCGGACCUUGCGCGAUUGAAUGAGCCGAUGUCGGAUUAGCUAGUUGGCGGGGUAAAGGCCCACCAAGGCGACGAUCCGUAGCUGGUCUGAGAGGAUGAUCAGCCACACUGGAACUGAGACACGGUCCAGACUCCUACGGGAGGCAGCAGUGGGGAAUAUUGGACAAUGGGCGCAAGCCUGAUCCAGCCAUACCGCGUGGGUGAAGAAGGCCUUCGGGUUGUAAAGCCCUUUUGUUGGGAAAGAAAUCCAGCUGGCUAAUACCCGGUUGGGAUGACGGUACCCAAAGAAUAAGCACCGGCUAACUUCGUGCCAGCCGCCGCCGUAA
rnacentral:rRNA from 1 species